UACAGGGGGCUCGAGCGUUAGUCGGAAUCACUGGGCUUAAAGGGUGCGUAGCGGUCCGCCAAGUGCUUUGUGAAAUCCCCGAGCUCAACUCGGGAACUGCAGGGCAAACUGGAGGACUUGAAGCAGGUAGGGGCUGGAAGAACAGUAGGUGGAGCGGUGAAAUGCGUAGAUAUCUAACUGGAAUGCCGAUGGGGAAGCCGUCCAGCUGGGCCUGUCUUGACGCUGAGGCACGAAAGCGUGGGGAGCAAACAGG
rnacentral:rRNA from 1 species